AGCUCCAAUAGCGUAUAUUAAAGUUGUUGUGGUUAAAAAGCUCGUAGUUGGAUCUCAACAGCCCUGGGACGGUUUACUUUGUGUAACACUGUCCUAUGAGUUGUGCUUUUGCCGGAGGUCUCGGGGUGCUCUUAAUCGAGUGUCUCUGGAUGCCGGCAGGUUUACUUUGAAAAAAUUAGAGUGUUCAAAGCAGGCUGUUAUGCCUGAAUAUUCGUGCAUGGAAUAAUAGAAUAGGAUGUCGAUCUUAUUUUGUGGGUUUUCGAGACUCGACAUAAUGAUUAAUAGGGACAGUCGGGGGCAUUUGUAUUCAAACGCUAGAGUUGAAAUUCUUGGACCGUUUGAAGACAAACUACUGCGAAAGCAUUUGCCAAGAAUGUUUUCA
rnacentral:rRNA from 1 species